AAGUCGUAACAAGGUUUCCGUAGGUGAACCUGCGGAAGGAUCAUUAACACAAUUUUGAUUCACAAAUCUCUUUGCUUCGUUGUCUUUUUUUCCCCUAGAUGCAAGAAAUUGCAGCUAGAGAAGAGAAGAGCAACAAGCAAUUAACCCCCUUUCUAUGACGAAAAAUCUUUACAAAAGAAUGGAAGAAAAAGGAAUGUGUUUCGUCACAAUCCGUUUCAACCGUUUUUUUCCUUUACCCAAUUUUUUUUACCCGUUUUACAACCUGUAAUAGACUGAAAACAAAAAUCAUAUUCUAGAUCUCUAGAAUCUAAAACUAAGAAAACAACUCUUAGCAACGGAUAUCUAGGUUCUC
rnacentral:misc_RNA from 1 species